ACACCCCUAAUGUAAUGGCAAGUCGAGGUCGCCAAGAAGGUAAUUCUCGUGGAGUUGAAGAAGAGGUUAGACUCAACCAAAAAGCAUAUGGUUGGAAAAGUUGUUAGAAGUAUUGUGGGCAUACCGAUGCACACCCUAAUCGACCACUAAGGAGUUCCCUCUAGCCUGGUAUACAACAUGGACGCCAUGAUUUCUGUUGAGAUUGACGAACCAUCCUUGUGC
rnacentral:lncRNA from 1 species